GUUCCAGGGGCCCUCCAGCUUGGAUAUGCCAGAAGAGAAAUCGUUAUCACAAGUGUUUUACCCUCAGAAGGAUUUCUAAGUUAGAAAUCCCCUUCAUGGCACAUUCGGCCCUCAUCACACGGUGCAGUAUCUGCUCAUUUCAUAUCUUCUCAUAAUUCUCUGAAUUCAGUCUGAUUGGGCAGCUCGGGUCGGAGAAUGGAAUAUGUUUCCUCGAGCCAUAUUUUGCUGUAAUCAUGAGCUCAUUAAAGCAGAUCAAAGACCACACACCCAGAUACCUCUUGCCACUUGCUCCCAGAGAGCAUCUGCUCACCCUCUGGACGAGGUCGUUAGAGUUCUAGCGUUGCCGGAGGCUCUCCUUCUACUAGCUCAUGCCCUAGCUAUCUGACUUACCUUCUUGUCCACAAGACAUCCUUAGUGGAACCUAUUUCCAUGAAUCUCCCAAUUUGCUCUUUGAGAGACAGAUGGCUGGUAAAUUGUAAUCACUACUAGA